rnacentral:rRNA from 1 species
GAUGAACGCUGGUGGCGUGCCUAACACAUGCAAGUCGAACGGGGUAAGGACACCGGAUGAAGAUUCGUCAGAUUCCACCGUCCUUACUUAGUGGCGGACGGGUGAGUAACGCGUGGGCAACCUGCCCUGUACAGGGGAAUAGCAGCUGGAAACGGCUGGUAAAACCGCAUAUGCGCGCAGUACCGCAUGGUACAGCGCGGAAAACUCCGGUGGUACAGGAUGGGCCCGCGUCUGAUUAGCUGGUUGGUGAGGUAACGGCCCACCAAGGCGACGAUCAGUAGCCGGCCUGAGAGGGUGAACGGCCACAUUGGGACUGAGACACGGCCCAAACUCCUACGGGAGGCAGCAGUGGGGAAUAUUGCACAAUGGGGGGAACCCUGAUGCAGCGACGCCGCGUGGAGGAAGAAGUAUUUCGGUACGUAAACUCCUAUCAGCAGGGAAGAUGAUGACGGUACCUGACUAAGAAGCCCCGGCUAACUACGUGCCAGCAGCCGCGGUAAUACGUAGGGGGCAAGCGUUAUCCGGAUUUACUGGGUGUAAAGGGAGCGUACGCGGCGGUGC